UACGAAGGGGGCUAGCGUUGCUCGGAAUUACUGGGCGUAAAGCGCACGUAGGCGGAUUGUUAAGUCGGGGGUGAAAUCCCGGAGCUCAACUCCAGAACUGCCUUCGAAACUGGCGAUCUUGAGUCCGGGAGAGGUGAGUGGAACUGCGAGUGUAGAGGUGAAAUUCGUAGAUAUUCGCAAGAACACCAGUGGCGAAGGCGGCUCACUGGCCCGGUACUGACGCUGAGGUGCGAAAGCGUGGGGAGCAAACAGG
rnacentral:rRNA from 1 species